rnacentral:rRNA from 1 species
UACGUAGGGGGCAAGCGUUGUCCGGAAUCCUUGGGCGUAAAGCGCGUGUAGGCGGUCCGGUAAGUCCGCUGUGAAAGUCGGGGGCUUAACCCUCGGAUGCCGGUGGAUACUGUCGGGCUUGAGUACGGAAGAGGCGAGUGGAAUUCCUGGUGUAGCGGUGAAAUGCGCAGAUAUCAGGAGGAACACCAAUUGCGAAGGCAGCUCGCUGGGACGUUACUGACGCUGAGACGCGAAAGCGUGGGGAGCAAACAGG